rnacentral:rRNA from 1 species
GACGAACGCUGGCGGCGUGCUUAACACAUGCAAGUCGCACGGGGCAGCAAUGCCCAGUGGCGAACGGGUGCGUAACACGUGAGGAACUUGUCCAUCGGCGGGGGAUAGCCGGCCCAACGGCCGGGUAAUACCGCGUACGUCGGUCGGGGCACCUGCCCUGGCCGGGAAAGCAGCAAUGCACCGAUGGAGAGCCUCGCGGCCUAUCAGCUUGUUGGCGGGGUAACGGCCCACCAAGGCGACGACGGGUAGCUGGUCUGAGAGGAUGAUCAGCCACAUUGGGACUGAGACACGGCCCAGACUCCUACGGGAGCAGCAGUGGGGAAUAUUGCGCAAUGGGCGAAAGCCUGACGCAGCGACGCCGCGUGCGGGAUGACGGCCUUCGGGUUGGUAAAGCCGCUAGUCGGGGGGACGAACGACAAUGACGGUACCCCAAAGGAAGCACCGGCGUAACUCUGUGCCAGCAGCCGCGGUAAUACAGAGGGUGCGAGCGUUGUCCGGAAUUACUGGGCGUAACGGGCGCGUAGGCGGUUCGGUAAGUA